UUCAAACUGAGGAGGUUAAUUUAUUAUUUGUUCUGUUGCAGAGUUUGUGCUGCAAAUCACAGUUUUACCCUUGUGGAAGGGUUUGUCUCUAAUUUAUAUCAUAGUUUUUGUUUGUAUACCUGUGUUCCUAAUUUCCAUAAUUCAAUCUUGAUUUGGAAUCUGUCGAUCUAUAUUCUCAGCACCGCGAUUUUAAUUUUGGGUGACUAUCUUAGCAACCCUUUUGUUUGCUUUUCAGCACCUAAGUUUGAUCAGUGAAGGCAACAUGGAGGGUUAGAGUUAAGGAAGAAAUUUUCUUGAAUCACUUCACAGAUAAAGUUUGGGAUCUUUCAGUUUAUGUUGUGUGGGUUGGAUCCAUAAGAUACCACAGCUUUUGAUGUUCUAUAAUUCACCGAAAGGAGUUAGUAGUUCGAUCCUUUUGAUUCUUAUCCUCCUUGUAACAGGCAUCCUGAGCAAUACGUUGUUUUACAUAUAAAUUUGAUUAUCCUAUUGUUUCUCUCUAUCUACAAUGUGUCAUUAAGGAGUUGAAGAAUAGUUAACUAGUAUGAGAAAAUCUCAUUUUUUGGUAUGGUAUUUAUUGUAUUAUUGUUAUCUAUUCAGACUGUUAGUUUCUUGAUCGCUUGUUUAUCAAGAAUGUGGCAUAUAGGAUGCACAUUAUUUUUUGAUAAGGACUGACUCGAACUUUUUGAAUCUUGUUGGUAACUGCUGCACUGAAGGGAAAAUGCAAACAAGGAGCAGGGGGAGGGCAGGGUAAGGAAACACGGGUGGGGAAACAUGGAUGGUCUAACAUACCUCAUGCAUGGGGACAUUGAGGGAAUUGGUGUGACAUAGUAGAAUAUCAAUGGGAUUAUUGACGGUUUUUGUGUACUAUAGGUUAUGGAGGUAAGUAGAUUAUGGAUUUGGUUAUCUGUGAUGAUCCUUUUUUUUAUUUUCAUAGGGUUGAAGGUAUCUGCUAGCUUGUAUUCAUCUUUAUGCAGUGGCAGUUCGUAAAGCAUAUAAUAUGGAGUCUAUUUUGUUAAGUGGCUUUGUAGCUUUAUCUCUUGGUUCCAGAAUAUAUUCAUUCCCAUUGAUCUGGUAAGCUUGUGACCAUCUCUCAUUUCUUUGACCUGCUCCUUGAUCAUUAUAGGAUGUAUGCACUAAUUGGAAUAUGAUGUGACCGUUUUCACUGCCAUCAUCCUUAGCCUUGAGUUUAGAAUCAGUUAUAGUUGUUUUCCCCUGAUACUUAAGAGUUUAUAUGAUAGGUUAACUUGUUAUUUCUGUUGUUGCAGAAAAGCCAGUGCAACUGGGAAACAAUCUAUUUCAGGGGUAUCUUGAUCUUGAACAUUAUAUAAAAACUGGAGUUUAAUGUUGUGAUUUUUUUGUUAAGGGGAUCGAAAUGUUUGUUAGUGGAGUUUACUAUAUUUUUUUGUUCACAAACUAUUCACAUGGAAGAUUAAUUUAUUAUUUCUUCUGUCGCAGACGUGCUUAUAUUGCAGGAUGCAAUUUUUCCAAGGUAGAAGAGCAGAGUGUGUCCUUUAUAUCCUAGUCAUUGUUUAUGUGCAUUGGUGUACCAAAUAGUCGCCUUGUUCCAUUAUUGGCUUGUGUUCUCUUAAUGGAUCUGGUCCCUUGGUAGAUUUUGGAAAAUCCUGGAUUAUGAUUUGUAAUGAGCUUCAUUUUCUUCCUGUUAGAUUUGCACUAUAUUUUUUCUUGUAUUGAUAAUCGUGCUGUUAUAUAUUGUAGGCAAUGGUGUGUCUUAGAACUGAUAUAAGUUCUUCUAUUGAUAAGUGACUUAGUAGCUGCUACACUUAAAUCUGGGUUUGUAUUUUCAUCCUUGUUCCAAUUACUCAAAUAUUUCUUUAUUAUUGGUAAUCCUGUCAUUUGCCUCACCAGAACUGUGAUUUGAUUCGUGAAGGCAUAAUGGAGCAAUCCAAGUGGAGCAGUGAUUUUUCGUGCAUUGGUGCAUAUGGGAAUUGAUAUAUAUUCUGCUACUGCUGACUGACUUAGUAUCUGUUAGUCUAUUCUGCUCAUCUUUGUUCCUCAUGCUCUAACUUUUGAUAUGGAUUAGUGUUCAUCUCUUUUGCUUCACUAGAAAAUUGAUUUGAUCUGUGAAGGCACCAUGGGGGAAUCUAAGGGAAGAAGCAAUUUGUAAUUAUGAGAGUAGUACUGUAGGUGACAUUUCAGCUGAUGAACGGAAGGGGCUCACUGGCUUAUGUCAUUUCAUUGUAUUUUAAUCAUCAUUUACAUACUGUUGGCUUCUUCAAUUUCAUUAUCAGUAUCAAGAUUAUUGGUGGUUUUACUCUAUUCUUGCUUGCAAGCGGAUGUAGAUUUCUUGAAGAUUUGCAUUUAUUAUGGUAGUGAGUUUCUUGAAGAUUUGCAGCAAUUUUUUUGACUUGGUUUUAGGGUUUACAGAAUUAGAAGCUGUUUGUUCUUGUUUGUGUGUUUGACAAUUGAAUCCGGUUUCGUGUGAUCUUCUUUUUGAAAAUAAUUCAAGUGGUCGAGUUUUUUUAUGGAACUGGGAGUGCUCUUUUGUUAAUCUACAGGCAUUUCUUGUAACGUGUUUUGAUCAGUUUUUGAAUAUCGCCAAUCCAACAAUAUGAGUUCAGACUUGCUUAUGAUUUUCCUGCUGCCAGUUUUACAGUUUUUGGCAUUCAUUUUUACAAUAUUAUUUGCAGUUUGAAAGCAUCACACAAGCAUUAUUUUGCAGCCUGAAGAGUGUUUUCUGAUGUUUCUGAUGCUAAUACUCAAAAGAGAUGUUCCUGAUUCCAAUUCAAUGUUACUUUAGAUUCCAUCUUCCGGUGUUGGACAAGAUAGGCAUGAUUCAGAGGCUGAAAUUGAGAUUGAAGAUUUGCAGUAGUUGAGGAAUCUUCUGUGACUUGGUUAUUAGGGUUCACAAAAUUAGGAGCUGUUUGUUCUUGUUUGAGGAUUUGACAGUUGAAUCUGGUUUAUUGUGAUUUAGUUUUCCUUUUUUCCCUAAAAAAGAAUCCAAGUGGUCAGGUUUUUUUCUUAUGGAAGUGGUAGUGCUCCAUUGGUAAUCUGCAGGAAUCAGCCAUGGUGUAUUCUGAUUGGACCUUUGAGUAUCGCCAAUCUGACAGUCCGAGUUCAGAUUUACUUCAUCAUUUUCUUGUAUUCAGUUGGAGCACUGGUGCCGGGGUUAUGAGUUUUAAGUAUUUAUUUUAAAAAUACUUUCAGCGUGCAAUCAUCGUGGAAGUGGUUUCUGAUGUUUCUGAUGUUGAUACUCAUGCUCGAUGCUUCUGAUUGUGAGUUGUUAUUUCAGUUUCCAUAUUCUGAUGUUGGACAUGAGAAGUCUUUCAUGGGGGUUUCUUCUUCUUUAUAGUUGUUUCUCUUCGUGUUUUUAUUUUUGUUUUUUCAAUUAAGGUUUUGUAUGGUUAUUAUCAUCUGUCUAUUCCCUGGGGAUUUCUUGAAGAUUUGCAGUAAUCAAGGGAACCGGGGAAUUCUUGGAGAUUUGCAGUGAAUUUCUUGAAGAUUGCAGUAAUUAAGGUAGCGAAUUUCUUGAGGAUUUGCAACAGUUAGGUAUUUCUGUAUGACAUGGUUUAGGGUUUGCAGAAUUAGAAGCAGUUUGUUCUUCUUUGAGAAUUCAUCGAUAUGAGGUUUGAACCUGUUUUUUCAUGAUUUUGGGUUUUUUUCUAAAAGGAAUUUAAGUGGUUCAGGUAUAUUAUGAAACUGGAAGUGCCUCUUCAUUAAUCUACAGGAAUCAGCAGUGUUGUGUUUUAAUUGGAUUCUGAUUGUUGCCCAUCCUACUGUACAAGUUCAGGCUUGCUUCAUUAUUUUCUUAUAUUUAGUUGAAGAAUUGUUGCGGGAUUAUGAAAUUUUAGUUUUUUUAAAAUAUAUUAAGGUCAGUUUGAAAACAUCACAGAAGCAUUAUCUUGCGGACCAGAGAAGCAUGAUUUAGAGGCUGGAAUUCAGAUAGAUUGAUUUCUUGUGAAGGGGGUUUGUCUAUUGCAUGGAUAUGAUGAAAAUAUUAUUGUGCAGGAAACAAAGACUUCUGAUGAUGUUCAUGCCUAAUCAUGGUUCUUGAUUCUUGAUGGUUGCUUUAGGUUCCAUCGUGAAAGGGAUGCCCUUGUUAUCCAAUUCAAACAAAAGAGAUGAUGUAGAGGCAGGGAAUCAGAUUGUUUCUUUUUGAGUGGAUUCCUUUUCCUUUUGUAUUAUUCUUUAUCAGAUUUUGUGAUUUGAAUAAUUGGUUUGAUUCUGAGAAGCAAUAUGCGAUCAGAGAGAUGAUUCAUUUAACCUCCUGUUUUUGAUGAAAUUUGCAGUUAUAUGCAUUGAAGUGUCAAAUUGCACUGAUUCUUUUUCCUGAUUAGAGCUAUCACAUGCUGGUUUGAUAGAAUGAUAAAUUCGAUUUCCUUGGCUUGCUGUCACUUCAUAGGUUAAGCAUUGUGGGAACAUGAUAUCUCUACUCUUCCUGCUGCUUAAUUGGUUGUUACUUGAGCUUACAUUGCUGACUGGUUCAUCUUGGUUUACCAGAAUACCGAGUCAUUACUUGAUGGAGAUGCAGAGGCUGGAGAAUGGAUCUCGGAUGGGAUUUGUUCAGCAAUAUAUGUUUCGGUUAUGGUGUACUUUCAUCAUGUUGAUCAAUCAGGGUUAUUGACCAAUUAACUUAGUGCAUUUGCUUUUUAUGAUUCAGAAGAUGUCCUACUCCUUUUUGUCCCACGUGUUGUUGAGUGUGGCCAUUACUUCUGUUGUUACUGUAGUAUUUGGAAGGAUGUGGUGGGCAUCAUCUUCAAAAGGUUGGAUCAUUCGAUGCCUCCCUAGAUACACGGUAUUUGAGGUAUUCAUUAUUGGUCAGGACUACUUUUUCCCCUUGUAUAUUGAUUUUAUAGGACUCAUCCACCUUCCAAGUCCUUUCACAGUUCUUCUUCAUUCUUGGGUUGUAUUAUUGGCUCAUCUUUCUGAUCCAUUAGUGCUCACAAUCAUGGUUUAUGCGUUAUUUGCGGUUCUCUGGUGUAUUUGUGCUCUUGCAUGUCUUUUCCAUUCUCCCUCCAAGCAAGUUUAGGUUUGUCUGUUAUAAUUCUGAUACACUGCAUCUGCUACUAUACUUUCGGUGGUGAUCCCUUUUACAUCGGGUGCUUAUCUAGAUCUGGGAUAAUCUUGAUUUCUUGGUUAAUGUCAUGCAAUAUAUCAUCUUGUGAUUGAUGUUGGCAGUUGUUUCAUGAUUUCCUGUUGCAUCGGUGGCCUGGCGAUUCUCUCAUUUUCGACCAACACCUUGAGUUCUUAAUACAAUCUGGCUCCAUUGCAGAGUAUAUUUGUUUUUUCAUGAAGGGUUUUCUCGCUUUGAUUAUUGAAUUGAUUGUGCUAAUUUUUGGCCUUUAUGCUUUUAGUUCAGGUCUUUCUUAGUUUGUUAUUUGUGAUGUUGCAGAAGAGCUUACGCAACUUGGGAAAAUCUUGCUGAAGGGGUAUCUUCAUCUGAUAAUUGAAGGAAGCGCAGAGGAAAUGGAAUGCAAUGAUAUGUUUUUUUUUUUUUUUUACUGAAUUGAGUUUCUAAUCUUGAUAGCGGGGUUCAUUAUGCUUGCCUUUUCGUGCGGUAGCUGCUCAUGUGGAAACAUAAAGGUUAAUUUAUUAUUUGUGCUGUUGCAGUUUAGCUUGUGCUGCAGGAUACAAUUUUGCCCCAUAUUAGCCAAUAUAGACGAUUCAUAUCAUUGUUUGUAUAUGAUGCCUAUAUGUUUUUAAUCACCCUUUUUUCUAAAAGGAAUUUAAGUGGUUCAGGUAUAUUAUGAAACUGGAAGUGCCUCUUCAUUAAUCUACAGGAAUCAGCAGUGUUGUGUUUUAAUUGGAUUCUGAUUGUUGCCCAUCCUACUGUACAAGUUCAGGCUUGCUUCAUGAUUUUCUUAUAUUUGGUUGAAGAAUUGUUGGGGGAUUAUGAAAUUUUAGUUUUUUUUAAAUAUAUUAAGGUCCAUUUGAAAAUACCACAGAAGCAUUAUCUUGCGGACCAGAGAUGCAUGAUUUAGAGGCUGGAAUUCAGAUAGAUUGAUUUCUUGUGAAGGGGGUUUGUCUAUCGCAUGGAUAUGAUGAAAAUAUUAUUGUGCAGGAAGCAAAGACUUCUGAUGAUGUUCAUGCCUAAUCAUGGUUCUUGAUUCUUGAUGGUUGCUUUAGGUUCCAUCGUGAAAGGGAUGCCCUUGUUAUCCAAUUCAAACAAAAGAGAUGGUGUAGAUGCAGGGAAUCAGAUUGUUUCUUUUCGAGUGGAUUCCUUUUCCUUUUGUAUUAUUCUUUAUCAGAUAUUGUGUUUUGAAUAAUUGGUUUGAUUCUGAGAAGAUAUAUGCGAUCAGAGAGAUGAUUCAUUUAACCUCCUGUUUUUUAUGAAUUUUGCAGUUAUAUUCAUUGAAGUGUCAAAUUGCACUGAUUCUUUUACCUGAUUAGAGCUAUCACAAGCUGGUUUGAUAGAAUGAUAAAUUCGAUUUCCUUGGCUUGCUGUCACUUCAUAGGUUAAGCAUUGUGGGAACAUGAUAUUUCUACUCUUCCUGCUGCUUAAUUGGUUGUUACUUGAGCUUACAUUGUUGACUGGUUCAUCUUGGUUUACCAGAAUACCGAGUCAUUACUUGUUGGAGAUGCAGACGCUGGAGAAUGGAUUUCGGAUGUGGGAUUUGUUCACCAAUAUAAUAUAUAUUUCGAUUAUGGUGUACUUUCAUCAUGUUGAUCAAUCAGGGUUAUUGACAAAUUAACUUAGUGCAUUUGCUUUUUAUGAUUCAGAGGAUGCUGCAAAUAGAAGCAAAAGAUGUCCUACUCUUUUUUGUCCCAUGUGUUGUUGAGUGUGGCCAUUACUUCUGUUGUUACUGUAGUAUUUGGAAGGAUGUGGUGGGCAUCAUCUUCAAAAGGUUGGGUCAUUCGAUGCCUUCCUAGAUACAAGGUAUUUGAGGUUUUCAUUAUUGGUCAGGACUACUUUUUCCCCUUGUAUAUUGAUUUUAUAGGACUCAUCCACCUUUCAAGUCCUUUCACAGUUCUUCUUCAUUCUUGGGUUGUAUUAUUGGCUCAUCUUUCUGAUCCAUUAGUGCUCACAAUCGUGGUUUAUGCGUUAUUUGCGGUUCUCUGGUGUAUUUGUUCUCUUGCAUUUCUUUUCCAUUCUCCCUCCAAGCAAGUUUAGGUUUGUCUGUUAUAAUUCUGAUACACUGCAUCUGCUAUUAUACUUUCGGUGGUGAUCCCUUUUACAUCGAGUGCUUAUCUAGAUCUGGGAUAAUCUUGAUUUCUUGGUUAAUCUCAUGCAAUAUAUCAUCUUGUGAUUGAUGUUGGCAGUUGUUUCAUGAUUUCCUGUUGCAUCAGUGGCCUGGCGAUUCUCUCAUUUUCGACCAACACCUUGAGUUCUUAAUACAAUCUGGCUCCAUUGGAGAGUAUAUUUGUUUUUUCAUGAAGGGUUUUCUCGCUUUGAUUAUUGAAUUGAUUGUGCUAAUUUUUGGCCUUUAUGCUUUUAGUUCAGGUCUUUCUUAGUUUGUUAUUUGUGAUGUUGCAGAAGAGCUUACGCAACUUGGGAAAAUCUUGCUGAAGAGGUAUCUUCAUCUUAUAAUUGAAGGAAGCGCCGAGGAAAUGGAAUGCAAUGAUAUGUUUUUUUUUUUUACUGAAUAGAGUUUCUAAUCUUGAUAGCGGGGUUCAUUAUGCUUGCCUUUUCGUGCGGUAGCUGCUCAUGUGGAAACAUAAAGGUUAAUUUAUUAUUUGUGCUGUUGCAGUUUAGCUUGUGCUGCAGGAUACAAUUUUGCCCCAUAUUAGCCAAUAUAGAAGGAAUCGUCCUUAUUUAUAUCAUUGUUUGUAUUUGAUGCCUAUAUGUUUUUAAUCACCCUUUUUUCUCAAUAGGGUUUUCUUUUGGGCUCAUAUUUUAGCAAUCCUUUUAUUUGCUUCACCAGAACCUUGAUUUGAUCUGUGAAGGGCGAUACUAGAGGAAUUAGUGUUAAGAAAGGAUUUUUCAUGAUGAGGAUUCCUCACUUCCCCUGAUAAUCUAGGGGUCACGGUAUGUGGGGCUUGACAUGGGAUGCUAUCUUGAUAAGUGGAUCUGCUGCUUAUAUGCUUUGUCAAGUUUCAUUUCUGUAUUCCAGAAAUCUCAUUCAUUUGUGUUAUUAAUAACCUGGUGAUGUUCUCUUAUUUUUUUGACCAGAACCGUCAGCUCUCAAGACAUCUGUGUGGAUUGGAUCAUGAUAUGUGCUUUUGAUGGAGCGUGUUCCUCAACCUUUAUCAUAGAAUUGGUAAUAUUUCCCAUUUGUUCUUAAACUUAGAGUUCAAGUCAUAGGAUUGGUAUUUCUGAUGUCACAGAGAGCUUGCACAACAUCAGGUUAUCUUGCUCAAGUGCAUCUUUACCUGAUAAUGAAGACAGUUCGAAGGAAAUGUAAUGAUAUGAUUUUCUAUGGAGGGAGUUUCUCAUCUUUGAUAGACUACUUUUUCGUGCACUAGCUGUUCAUGGGGAACGUUGGAAGUUACUGUAUGGUUUGUGUUGUUGCAGUAACUUUGCUGUAGGUUAUUAUUUUGCCCAUGUGGAAGGGUUUGUCCUUAUUUAUAGCUUGGCCAUUUUCAACAUUAAUUUAUAAUUUGUCAAUCUUUGUUCUGAGCGCUGAAAGUUUGAGUAACUGGGAUUAAGGAAGGGUUUUUAAUGAAGGUGCUUCCUUCCACAAAUUCUUUAGGAGUCCAUGAUCUCAUUCAUCCCUGUUGAGUUGGUGACCUUGUGAGCUUCUCUCAUUUGUUUGACUUACUUGAGCGCUUGAGAGAUUUUGGGUGAAAGAGAGAAGGUAUGUUUUUUUUAAACUAUGGAGUGGGUUCCUUAAGCUCAUUAAUUUGUUACUGCUGGCAUUGCAUAGGAGCCUGUGCAUCGUGGGCAAUCUUGCUCAAAGGUACUCUUGAUCUGAUAAUGGAAAAUGGUUUGGAGGAAUGAAUUGAUGAAGGUUGUUCGUCAUCUUUGAUAGCGGAGUGAAUAUUUUCUAUUCUUUCCUCCACCAGCUGUUCAAAUUGAGGAGGUUAAUUUAUUAUUUGUUCUGUUGCUGAGUUUGUGCUGCAAAUCACAGUUUUACCCUUGUGGAAGGGUUUGUCUCUAAUUUAUAUCAUAGUUUUUGUUUGUAUACCUGUGUUCCUAAUUUCCAUAUUUCAAUCUUAAUUGGGAAUCUGUCGAUCUAUAUUUUCAGCACCGUGAUUUUAUUUUUGGGUGACUAUCUUAGCAACCCUUUUGUUCGCUUUUCAGCACCUCAGUUUGAUCAGUGAAGGCAACAUGGCGGGUUAGAGUUAAGGAAGAAAUUUUCAUGAAUCACUUCGCAGAUAAAGGUUGGGAUCUUUCAGUUUAUGUUGUGUGGGUUGGAUCCAUAAGAUACCACAGCUUUUGAUGUUCUAUAAUUCACCGAAAUGAGUUGGUAGUUCGAUCCUUUUGAUUCUUAUCCUCCUUGUAACAGGCAUCCUGAGCAAUACGUUGUUUUACAUAUAAAUUUGAUUAUGCUAUUGUUUCUCU
rnacentral:lncRNA from 1 species